GGUUGCGAUCAUACCAGCACUAAUGCACCGGAUCCCAUUAGAACUCCGCAGUUAAGCGUGCUUGGGCGAGAGUAGUACUAGGAUGGGUGACCCCUGGGAAGUCCUCGUGUUGCAACAC
rnacentral:rRNA from 1 species